rnacentral:lncRNA from 1 species
AUCAGAUGAAUUUUGAUACAAAAUUCUUUAUACUAUGUACAACAAAAUCAAUAUUUCUGAUCGGAAAUUUUAGUGUUAUAUCACACCUUUUAUAGAAUUUUAUUUUCAGCCACGUUUUUAAAAAUUAUUAAUUUUGAAUCCUUUCGAUUGUUAGGUAAAUGAUAUCGAAAAAUCGCAAAAAUUAUUUUCUAGAAACUUCAAAUACGCUAGAUCAAGUCUAACGGAGCCGAUCGUCGAUUCGGAAACUCCAUCAUCGAAAACGGCUCAGAAGCACGGAUGCUCCUGAAAGCACAGCAGCCCUGCUAUAUAUAUAUAACCAAUAUAUAUAUAUAUAUAUAUAUAUAUAUAUAUAUAUAUAUAUAUAUAUAUAUAUAUAUAUAUAUAUAUAUAUAUAUAUAUCAACUCCUUCAACCCUCAUUUUGUAU